CCUACGGGAGGCAGCAGUAGGGAAUCUUGCACAAUGGACGAAAGUCUGAUGGAGCAACGCCGCGUGAGUGAAGAAGGGUUUCGGCUCGUAAAGCUCUGUUGGUAGGGAAGAAAGAUAGAUCUAGUAACUGGCCUUUAGUUGACGGCAAUUACUUAGAAAGUCACGGCUAACUACGUGCCAGCAGCCGCGGUAAUACGUAGGGGGCAAGCGUUGUCCGGAUUUAUUGGGCGUAAAGCGAGGGCAGGCGGUACCAUAAGUCUGAUGUGAAAGGCUUCGGCUCAACCGGCGAACUGCAGCCGAAACUGUGGAGCUUGAGUGCAGAAGAGGAAAGUGGAACUCGAUGUGUAGCGGUGGAAGGCGUAGAUAUAUGGAAGAACACCAGUGGCGAAGGCGGCUCACUGGUCUGCAACUGACGCUGAGGCUCGAAAGCGUGGGUAGCGAACAGGAUUAGAUACCCCAGUAGUC
rnacentral:rRNA from 1 species